rnacentral:rRNA from 1 species
AUGGCGCGCCUCCUCGUUCUCGCCGUCACGGCCACGGUUCUCAUGGCUCGGUCCGGGCAGCCGGCGUCCGCUGCGUGGACGUUGCCGGCGGAAGCCUUCUGGCGCGCCACCCUGCCCGACGCCCCCAUGCCAGACGCCAUCCUCGAGCUCCAGCCCCAGUUUGAUCACCACACAUCAACGGAACAGGGCGCAUACAUGAAUGCAGAGACUGGCACUCCGGAAGGCGCAGUCGCCGAGGACAGCGUGGAGGACAACGACCCGCCGCGGCCCAUGAACUUCAACUACGGCUACAACAACGCCUUGCCCCGGAGCGAAGCCACCAGCGCCCCCUCCCCCAACGUCCUACUGAACCGCGCCGCCGUCGUCCGCAACGUCGCCACGCCGUCGUCGGCGGUGUUCUUCCUCGAGGACGCGAGUAAAUUGCAUGAAACCACCACUUUGAAGGCUAGCUUUGCAGAAAACACUACAAUACAUUUUUUUGGCAGAAAACACUGCAUCUUUAGUAAUCUUGUUGCAAAAAUCACUGAUUGA